UUGCAUAUUGCCCUGAUUAGCCAAUGGGAAGGGUAGCGGUCGUACGCCAAUUACCAUGUUUCUCUUUUAUUAGAUAGGAUUUGACAUCAUGAAUGGAAUGUUACUCGAAAUACGAAUGCUAAAAGUGCUUCUGUAGGGCUGCCUUCAUGUGGCUACAGUGUGCUGGAGCUGGAAGAAGUUCCCUCACCUGCUCUCCCAGCAGGUAGUGUUGGCUGUUGGCUGAGGAGACUUAGUUCUCUUCCUGUGACAUCUCAUCCUGCAAUAGCUAGCUAGAAUGGCCUUAUUACAUGCCCUUUGGGACAGUGCUUCAUGAUGGCCAGGAGGAAGCUGCAAGUCUCUCAAGGACUAGGCCCUGGAUCUCAGUAACAUCAUUUCUACUGCAUUGUGUAGGUCAAAGCAUGUCAAGUGGCCAGCCCAGGUUCAAGGGGAUGGAGAAAUAGACUCCACCGAUAGAAGGUGGUUGCCGCAAAGAGGAAUACAUACUACAGGGAUGGGAGGAAUUUGUCACCAUUAAGCAGUCUUUCACUUGGGGUCUGUAUUGAGGGCUAGGUAACCCCAAUUGAAGACAUCAGCUGAAUCAAGCAAUAAAGAGAAAAAAUAGGUCUACCUUAUAGGGUUGUGUUGAUAUUAAUAAGAUCACACAUUAAUAAGAAAAAAUAGGUCUACUUUAUAGAGUUGUGUUGAUAUUAAUAAGAAAUGUACCUAGCCCAAUGUCUGGCAUAUAACUCCUCAUCAAAUGUGAAUGACAACAACGAUGAUAAUGGUACCAUGAUUAUGAGAGCACUGAGGAAUUGAGUCAGUGAUGGUUGUGGUGUGGGAGGUGAUAUGAUCAAUAUAUUUGAAAGAUUGACUUAGUUCCUUUUAAUAGGGCAACAUGCUCAGGGAAGAGAAUGGAAAACAGAUCAAUUAGGAGGCUACUACAGUAGUCCAGAUGUAAGGUUAUAAAGAGUGAAUGAAAUGGACAGAUAUUAAAAACAUUUCAAAGAAGAAAUGACUAGUCUUUUUAACUGACUUAAUAUGAUGAAAGAAAAAAUUUAAAGAGGAGAGGACGAAGAGGCACAGCAAAUUAUGAUAUUGCUUAGUCCACUUUGUAAAAUGCCCAAGUCAAGUCUUAAUGGUAAUUAAUACUUACAUUAUUUAGGGAUUACCUAGCAGUAGAACAUGAGCCAAAUCUGGCUCUCAGUGUCAUCUGAUUUAUAAUUCUGUAAACUCAUUGUGAAGUGGAUGAGUAUAACAUAUGUUUCAGAACCUAAAUAAACAAACCUUAAAUCAUUGCUUUAAA